rnacentral:snoRNA from 10 species
UGCCUCCACUCCACGUUCCAGCCCAGUGCCCCAUACUGGGUCUGUUCGGUAAGGAGGGACAUUAGGGCAGCGGUGUUACCCAUUCCACUCUCAGCUCCCCCCGUAGCUCUGCGGUGGAAGAGAUCCCUGCCACAUGC